rnacentral:rRNA from 1 species
UACGUAGGGUGCAAGCGUUGUCCGGAAUUAUUGGGCGUAAAGAGCUCGUAGGCGGUUUGUCGCGUCGAAUGUGAAAACCCGGGGCUCAACCCCGGGCCUGCAGCCGAUACGGGCAGACUAGAGGUAUGCAGGGGAGAACGGAAUUCCUGGUGUAGCGGUGAAAUGCGCAGAUAUCAGGAGGAACACCGGUGGCGAAGGCGGUUCUCUGGGCAUUACCUGACGCUGAGGAGCGAAAGUGUGGGGAGCGAACAGG